GCCAUUUCUUGGGCGCUCCCGCGGCAUAUGGAGGUUUCCAGGCUAGGGGUCGAAUUGGAGCUGUAGCUGCCAGCCUAUGCCAGAGCCACAGCAACGCAGGAUCCGAGCCUCGUCUGCGACCUACACAACAGCUCACGGAAACACCGGGUCCUUAACCCACUGAGCAAGGGCAGGGAUCGAACCCGCAACCUCAUGGUUCCUAGUCGGAUUCGUUAACCACUGCGCCACGACGGGAACUCCCAAUAUGUCUUUCUUAAUGACAAAUUGCCAAAACAAAAAAUAUGUACAUAUAUACACAUACACAUAUACAAAUAUAAUAUUUAAAAGAUAGUAAAAUAAUUUAUAUUUAGUAACUCAGAAAACAUGUUAAAUGUUAAGCGUCCCAUAUAUUCCAUGCAUUCUGAGUAUAUUUAGCUUUGCAUCAGUUAUUAUUUAUAAUUCUGUAUUCUUUCAAAGUUAUGUAAGUAAGGGAUAGUUUAAUUUUAUUAAACCAUAUUAAAUGAUAAAAAAAUUAUGAAGGAAAAUCUGGUUUAACACACACACCAGAAUAAAUAAUUUUUCAAAGUGUUUAAUUUACAUUAAUUCUCCUUUGGUUUGAUGAGUAUUUUCUCUUCAUGAUAGUUUGGUUACUUUGUUAAGCUAUGUCAUUAUCAGAAAAUGCAUUGUAAAUUGGUUUAUUUAUGCCAUCUUUCAAACUUAUCUAAGAAAUAUAUUUUAAGAAUCACCACAGUUUCUCAUUCUUUAAAAAGUUUAUUAACUUGAUGCUCAUCCUUCUAAAGUGCUCACUGAAUACACUCUUUAAACAAGAGCAGUUGUAAAAUAUGUGUAUUAGAAAUUAUACAUACAAUUCUAAAGGACAAUUGCAAAUAUUAAAAUAUCUAAAAUAACUGAUUUGAAGAUAAUGGAAUUCAAAAUCAAAAAAUGAGCAAAUAAAAAUAAUGAAAACAGCAACUAUAAAAACUCAGCCUGCAUCCUUCCCUUUAGAAUAAAAGGUGAAAUAAUUUAUCCUGCUUCUCACAUUCUACAUCAUUUAUAUACUAUUUAUAUUAUUGGAAUGAAAGAAAAAAAUGGUUUACUAAUAGCUUCCCUGGUGAGUUCCAUCAAAUUGCGUCUAAUUUUUUCUAGCCCAUCCAUUUUCUAACUAUAUUAUCAAUAGAGUACAAUUCACCUUCAGGGAAGUUGUAAUGAAAACAGUACAGUUUAAUCACAUAGAUGAAUAAGUGUUAAGUGACUUAUUGGUUUUUUAAAAAAUGCAUAUUUUCCUUCUAAAAAAGAAAGCCUUAAACUUUCCUAAAAGUUAAUGACUUGUUUGAUGCUUUUUUGGAUAUAUGCCAACUUUUGCUAGAACUUUUACGCUUUAAAUUAUUGAUAUUAUUGACAUGGUUAAGGUGGGUAAAUUGUUUUCUCUUCAGUAAAUAUCUGGUCAGAAAAAUACAGCAAAAUAUAGUAAAACUGUAUUUUGGUCAGAAAAAUACAGUAAAACUUAUUUCAGGUGUUCCUAUGCAUUUCAACAUUGUUUAUCUAGGUUCUGACAGAAAACAGAAGAGGGACAUCUGGGUUUUGGAGUAGUUGAGACUAGCUAGGUUCUACCACUUUUUGGCUAUGUAGUUUUAGAUAAGCUACAACUUCUGAGACCUACUUUCUACACCAAUACAAUCAAAGUAAAAAUCUCUACUUUUUGGGCUCAAGACGAGGGUUCAAUGAAAUUGUCCACCCAACUAGAUAGUAAACAACAAAUUAAGCACCAUACAAGACAUAAUUUUAAAUAUAGAUCAUCACUUGUAUAUAGCUUUUUUAAAAAAAACUGUAUUAGAAUGUAGUUAAUUUACAAUGUUGUGUCAAUUUCUGUUGUAUGGCAAAGUGACUCGUCUCUCUCUCUCACACACACACACACACACACAUAUACAUACAUUGCUUUUCUUAAAUUGUCUUCCAUGAUGGUCUAUUCCAAGAGAUUGGAUAUAGUGCCCUGUGCUCUACAGUAGGACCUCAUAGCUUAUCCAUUCUAAAUGUAAUAGGUUUUCAUCUACCAACCCCAAACUCCCCAUCCAUCCCACUCCCUCCCCAUCCCUCUUGACAACCACAAGUCUGUUAUCUAUGUCUGUGAGUCUGUUUCUGUUUUGUAGAUGGGUUCAUUUGUGCCAUAUUUUAGAUUCCACAUAUAAGUUAUAUCAUAUGGUAUUUGUCUUUCUCUUUUUGAAUUCACUUAGUAUGAGAAUCUCUAUUGCAUCCAUAUUGCUGCAAAUGGCAUUAUUCUGUUUUUUUAUGGCUUUGUAGUGUUAAUUUCAAAAUUAAACACACCUUGAUACUCAGGUGUUGGGUUAGGGUGCCGCUGUUUAGGGGGAGAGGAUAAAGCCUUUUACUAGAAUUCUGGGAAUAAGGAGUGUGGGUGAAAGAAACUCAAGAUGAGUUGAGCAAUAAUACCUUAAAUUAUAGAGGGAAAAAACUAAUAAUCACUUCCCAACUGAAAAGAACUUUUGCUCAAAAGAGUACAUUCAGUGCUCAGAAGGGGCUUCUGGUCUGGACUGAGUUUUCCAGUGGAUCAUCUCAGCACUCAGCAUGGAGCCUGCUUGCCCAGGAAAGAUAGCAUCAGUUCUUUGGAUGUGUGCCAUGGACCAGUGGGGAGUCCCUACCUGACACAUCAUUCCUCCAGAUAGGGAUUUUGGUUAUAAGCAGCUGUACUCAUGGAGAAGCAUGACAUGCCUCUUCAGUGGACAAAGAGGACAAAAGAUAUUUGAUAUUAUAGUGGAUGUUGGGGGUUUUAUUUCUCCAUGGGAAUUACGAAGGUUAUUUCAGCAAAAACACCAAUUUUAUAGAUAAGCACAUACUUUUUGAGGCAAAUAGAAUGGGUAAAGAUACACUAGGAACAAAUGAGUAAGGUUAAGCUGUUUUGUAGUAUAGUAGCUGGCUUUCAUGAGAAUAGAGGGGCCAUGAGAAAUACUUUAUAAACUAUGUGCCAAUGAACUACAUAAACUCUAAUAUAUAAAAUAA
rnacentral:lncRNA from 1 species